rnacentral:rRNA from 1 species
UACGGGGGGGGCGAGCGUUGUUCGGAAUCACUGGGCGUAAAGGGCGCGUAGGCGGCCCGCACAAGUCUGCGGUGAAAACCCCCGGCUUAACCGGGAGGGGCCGUUGAAAACUGAUAAGCUUGAGGCGAUGAGAGGGGUGUGGAAUUCCCGGUGUAGUGGUGGAAUGCGUAGAUAUCGGGAGGAACACCAGAGGCGAAAGCGACACCCUGGCAUUUGCCUGACGCUGAGAUGCGAAAGCGUGGGGAGCAAACGGG